rnacentral:tRNA from 8 species
GUAAAGUCAGCUAAUUAAGCUCUC